rnacentral:rRNA from 1 species
GCGUCGAUCAACGACAACGCCUCUUGGACACUCACCACACUGCCUGCUGGGCACCGAGCCAUCGGGCUCAAGUGGGUGUUCAAGGUGAAGAAGGACGAGCACGGCGCCAUUUUCAUGCACAAGGCGCGCCUCGUCGCCAAGGGCUACGUGCAGCGUGAGGGAAUGGACUUCGAGGAAGUCUUCGCUCCGGUGGCAAGGCUGGAGUCCAUCCGGCUCAUCCUUGCGGUGGCUGCUCACCGCGGUUGGGAGGUACACCACAUGGACGUCAAGUCGGCGUUUCUCAACGGCGACCUUAACGAGGAGGUGUACGUCUCCCAGCCUCCAGGGUUCGUUGCCAAGAGCCACGAGCAGGGCGUGUACAGGCUACACAAGGCCCUGUACGGUCUCCGGCAAGCCCCAAGGGCGUGGAGCACCAAGCUCGAUGCAAGCCUUGCAUCCCUUGGGUUCUCACGCAACGCUUCUGAGCACGGCGUGUACUCGCGUGGCACCGCGAACACGCUGCUUAUCGUCGGCAUCUACGUCGAUGACCUGGUCAUCGCCGGGGCAGAGCCCGAAGAGGUUCGACGCUUCAAGGGAGAGAUGCAUCGUCUCUUCAGCAUGAGCGACCUUGGGCUGCUCCGGUACUACCUCGGGCUGGAGGUGAACCAGGAGGGUGGUCGCAUCACGAUCACGCAGACAGCCUACGCCGCCAAGAUGCUCGAGCGGGCAGGCAUGAAGGACUGCCAUGCCGUGCAUGCUCCAAUGGAGGCACGACUGAAGCUCAGCAAGGAUAGCUCCGAGAAGGCGGUGGACGCUACGCUCUACCGCAACAUCAUCGGGAGCCUCAGGUAUCUCGUGCACACCCGACCGGACAUUACGUUCAUUGUCGGGUACCUGAGUAGGUUCAUGGAAGUCCCGGCAAGCGAUCACCUCGCUGCCGUCAAGCACCUGCUCCGGUACAUCGCGGGUACGCUCACGCAUGGAUGCGUGUAUCGCCGUGGCGACGGCGAGAGCUUGGUCGGAUACAGUGACUCCGACCACGCUGGUGACGUGGACUCCCGAAAGAGCACCUCGGGCAUAUUGUUCCUUCUUGGGAACAGUCCCGUCAGCUGGCAAUCGGUGAGGCAGAAGGUUGUCGCCGCUUCUUCGUGCGAGGCGGAGUACAUCGCGGCAGCUACAGCGGCAUGUCAAGGUAUUUGGUUUGCUCGCCUUCUCGGCGAGAUGCUGAAUCAGGACACCGCCCCUGCGCUCAUCUUCGUCGACAACAAGUCGGCGAUUUCCCUCUGCAAGAAUCCAGUGCUUCACGACCGCAGCAAGCUCAUCGAUCUCCGCUAUCAC